ensembl:ncRNA T13H10.12 ncRNA
GGGCACACGAGAGCAACUACUGCAAGCGCUCCUGAAGAGAAGAAACAUCUUUUUUCCAGGACCACUGGCCAGUAGUGCUCCCCCAGAUCACUUUCUUUUUUCUUGCUUCAUCUGAUUUGUGUCUGCGUCGUCUGAUCUCUU